GAUGUAGAACGUAGCGAAAUGCGAUAAGUAAUGUGAAUUGCAGAAUUCAGUGAAUCAUCGAAUCUUUGAACGCACAUUGCGCCCCUUGGUAUUCCGGGGGGCAUGCCUGUUCGAGCGUCAUUUCAACCCUCAAGCUUCUGCUUGGUCUUGGGCCGUGCCGGCAACGGCUGGCCUUAAAACUAGUGGCGGUGCCAUCGAGCUCUACGCGUAGUAAUUCUAUCUCGCGUCUGGGCUUCGGUGGACGCUGGCCAGCAACCCCCAAUUUUCUAUGGUUGACCUCGGAUCAGGUAGGGAUACCCGCUGAACUUAAGCAUAUCAAUAAGCGGAGGA
rnacentral:misc_RNA from 1 species